AUACAAACAAUGAAAGAUGAAGCCAAAUAAUGAGAAAUAAGAUGGGCUCAAAUCUACUUAAAAAAACUUUCAUUUCAACCAUAAGAAAUUAAAAAAUAUUGUUAGAAAUAUAUAUACAAUAAAAUCUGUUUGCUCGAGAGUCAAUUGCAAUCCAAAUGAACUAACAAUCAAAUACUAUUAAAAAAUUGAUAUUAAAUUAAACUUAAAAACU
rnacentral:lncRNA from 1 species